CCUACGGGAGGCAGCAGUGAGGAAUAUUGGUCAAUGGGCGCGAGCCUGAACCAGCCAAGUCGCGUGAAUGAUGACUGCCCUACGGGUUGUAAACUUCUUUUAUCAAGGAAUAAAGUUAGGCACGUGUGCCUUUUUGUAUGUACUUUAUGAAUAAGGAUCGGCUAACUCCGUUCCAGCAGCCGCGGUAAUACGGAGGAUCCGAGCGUUUUCCGGAUUUAUUGGGUUUAAAGGGAGCGUAAAUGGGUUGUUAAGUCAGUUGUGAAAGUUUGCGGCUCAACCUUAAAAUUGCAAUUGAUACUGGCAGUCUGGAGUACAGUUGAGGUAGGCGGAAUUCGUGGUGUAGCGGUGAAAUGCUUAGAUAUCACGAAGAACUCCGAUGGCGAAGGCAGCUUACUAAACUGCCACUGACAUUGAUGCUCGAAAGUGUGGGGAUCAAACAGGAUUAGAUACCCGGGUAGUC
rnacentral:rRNA from 1 species